rnacentral:rRNA from 1 species
AAGCGUUUAUCACCAGACUUUUUCUAGGGGGAUCAUCCGGGGUUCUCCCCGGUGCACUUCCCCUAGUUGAGGCCAGCAUCGGUUUUCGGAGGGGGAUAAAAGUUUCGGGAAUGUGACUCCCCCGGGAGUGUUAUAGCCCGUUACAUAAUACCCUUCUGGGGACCGAGGUUCGCGCAUCUGCAAGGAUGCUGGCAUAAUGGUGAUCAACGA